UUUCGUCGUUGGCGGCCUCUUGAGAAAACUUAUCUGAAGCUGCUGUACAAGCCUAAGAAAAGACAAUUGUCAUAAAUUAAUACUUUCGCAGGCCGAAUCUGGAUUAAAUACACACUUCGUAGGUGUUGAUGUACUAAUAUGAACUGGAUUGGAGGAGUACGCCGCAGGGUGUUUUCUAAGGCGGAGGAAAAACGCAGGCAAGAACAGUUUUUUGCCAAACAUGCUGCCGCUGCAAAGUUGCGUGGUCUUAAUAACAGCUAUUCAAGAAACACUAGAAAGGAUCAGGUGUUGGAUGUUUUUCAUCAUCAAGACAAAGACCUGUAAAAUUGGGAGGCUCCCAUCUGAGUGUGCGGAACCAUGAAAGAGAAGACAUAGUCUUUGCAAAGAUUAGGAGUGGAGAGUCAUGUAGUGUUAACAGUAAGG